GGACAAAAGCCAUGGCUCAGUGGUAGAGCAUUUGCUUUGGAGACAGACGGUCUCAGGUUUGAUCCCUGAAAUGUCCA